UACGGAGGUGGCAAGCGUUGCUCGGAAUCACUGGGCGUAAAGGGCGCGUAGGCGGGGAGGUAAGUCGGGUGUGGAAAUCCCUCGGCCCAACCGAGGAACUGCGCCCGAGACUGCUUCUCUUGAGUCCCGGAGAGGAAGAUGGAAUUCCCGGUGUAGCGGUGAAAUGUGUAGAGAUCGGGAGGAACACCGGUGGCGAAGGCGGGUCUCUGGGCAUCUCCUGACGCUGAGGCGCGAAAGCGUGGGGGAGCAAACGGGG
rnacentral:rRNA from 1 species